rnacentral:rRNA from 1 species
AUGGGGCGGUUGGCGAGGGCGCAGCGCUUGGGGAUGGUCAUCGCGACGGCGGGCUUGACGCCGGCCUGGCGGGCGGUGCUGGACAGCAUGACGGCGCACAGGCACUUGGGGCUGCGCCCGAUGCUGCGUAUCUGCGCGCAGCAGCCGGGCGCCACCUUGGCCCGCGGGUUCUGCGUGGCCGCCGCGCACGGGGCCAGCUUGAGCGCCAUCCUGUCCGCCGGGACGCGGCCGCACUCCCCGGCGCCGCGCGCCGCCCCGAGCCCGGCCACCAGGAGCAUCGCCAGCAUGCAGAGGCACCUCGCCGCCUUGGACUCCAUCUCUCCUCAGCUGCAGCUACGCUUCACGGUUCUCUUUCUGCAGUGCACACUCGGAUGGACGGAUGGUGAUCUUCUCGGUGCCUCGGCCAGGGUAUAUAUACACCUCUCCGGGUCAUGGUGGAUUGGUGGAUGGAGGCCAUCGAUGGCCGCGUGA